UGGUUCUGGCAUNGAUGAAGAACGCAGCGAAAUGCGAUAAGUAAUGUGAAUUGCAGAAUUCAGUGAAUCAUCGAAUCUUUGAACGCACAUUGCGCCCUCCGGUAUUCCGGGGGGCAUGCCUGUUCGAGCGUCAUUACACCACUCAAGCCUCGCUUGGUAUUGGGCGAGGGGGCCGUCCUGCCCCCCGCCCCGAUGUCCCCGGCUGGGCCUCCCGACUCUCAGCGUUGUGGCACACGAUGUUUCGCUGGCGAGGAGGGCGGCGCGCGCCGUUAAACACCACGUCAAAGGUUGACCUCGGAUCAGGUAGGGAUACCCGCUGA
rnacentral:misc_RNA from 1 species